GCGCACCAGUCGCGAAAACUCCGCAAUACGCGAAAGCGUGACGGGGCUACCCCGAGUGUCGUCCGCUGAGGACGACUUUUCCACGCUGUAAGGAGGCGUGGGAAUAAGGAGAGGGCAAGUCUGGUGUCAGCCGCCGCGGUAAUACCAGCUCUCCGAGUGGUGGGGAUGUUUAUUGGGCCUGAAGCAUCCGUAGCUGGCUGAGCAAGCUCUCCGUUAAAUCCAGCGAUUUAAUAGUUGGACUGCGGGGGAUACUGUUCGGCUAGGGGGCCGGAGAGGCCGACGGUAUUCUCGGGGGAGGGGUAAAAUCCUAUAAUCCCGGGAAGACCACCAGUGGCGUAGGCGGUCGGCUAGCACGCGCUCGACAGUGAGGGACGAAAGCUGGGGUAGCGAACCGGAUUAGAUACCCGGGAGUCC
rnacentral:rRNA from 1 species